AGUGAACGCUGGCGGUAGGCCUAACACAUGCAAGUCGAACGGCAGCACAGUAAGAGCUUGCUCUUACGGGUGGCGAGUGGCGGACGGGUGAGGAAUAGAUCGGCAUCUACUUUUUCGUGGGGGAUAACGUAGGGAAACUUACGCUAAUACCGCAUACGACCUACGGGUGAAAGCAGGGGUUCUUCGGACCUUGCGCGAUUGUAUGAGCCGAUGUCGGAUUAGCUAGUUGGCGGGGUAAAGGCCCACCAAGGCGACGAUCCGUAGCUGGUCUGAGAGGAUGAUCAGCCACACUGGAACUGAGACACGGUCCAGACCCCUACGGGAGGCAGCAGUGGGGAAUAUUGGACAAUGGGCGCAAGCCUGAUCCAGCCAUACCGCGUGAGUGAAGAAGGCCUUCGGGUUGUAAAGCCCUUUUGUUGGGAAAGAAAAGCAGCAGGUUAAUACCCCGCUGUUCUGACGGUACCCAAAGAAUAAGCACCGGCUAACUUCGUG
rnacentral:rRNA from 1 species